UUUAAAUACUUUACCUAGCAGAGGUGUGAAAACUGCUGUGGAUUUCAGGAUUGCAUCGAGGGAUGGCAUGGAAGUCCACAACAGAAGAUGGAAGCUUAAAAUGAAGAAAAGUCACUUUGUUAAUCUCUCAAGUCAGACGUGCAGCUGUUCAUUUAUACAUCUUAAAGAUUGUGGCCUGGUACAAAAGGAGCAGCAUCACACUCUGUUUGGGUCCCGAUCCGACAUGACAGAACAGAGGAGUUAACAAGGAGGACGCCUAGGAGAAGAAGAGCUGAAGUUGAAUCGGGCAGCAUAGUUGUAGCUGGACAUAAAGGUACUGGGGAAUCGUAGCAAAAUAAACAAAAGUGUGGGAGCAUUCACGAACCAGCCAGGAGUUGACCGUCGGAUUCGGGUCGCUCCCCUCACCCUGCCUCACCGGAUCACUCACCCUACAACCAAAAACCGGAAAACCUCAGCUUGGCCAACGAUCCCCAGACUUAACAAUACAAGAGGGAAGUUAACAAACAAAAAA